rnacentral:rRNA from 1 species
AUACCCUAUUAUUUUUAUUGUAAAAUUCUAAGCUAGAGUAUUAGUAGAUACGGUCUUGAAACUUAAAGAAUUUGGCGGUAUUAUAGUCUAUUUAGAGGAAUCUGUUAUGUAAUCGAUAGUCCACGUUGAACCUUACUUAUUUAAUUUCUUGUAUACCGCUGUUUAUGAAUAUAUUUUUAGGUUAUUUUCAAGAUAUAAUAAUAAUUAAUAUUUCAAGUCAAGGUGCAGUAAUAUAUAAGUUGAAUAAUGGAUUACAAUAAGUUUUAUUUAUACGGAUUAUUAUUGAAAUAUAGUUUGAAGGUGGAUUUAAUUGUAAUUUUAUAAAGAUUAAUAAAAUGAUUUAUAGCUCUAUAAUAUGUACACAUCGCCC